rnacentral:rRNA from 1 species
UGCGUAGGCGGCUUUGCAAGUCAGAUGUGAAAUCUAUGGGCUCAACCCAUAAACUGCAUUUGAAACUGUAGAGCUUGAGUGAAGUAGAGGCAGGCGGAAUUCCCCGUGUGCGGUGAAAUGCGUAGAGAUGGGGAGGAACACCAGUGGCGAAGGCGGCCUGCUGGGCUUUAACUGACGCUGAGGACGAAAGCGUGGGGUAGCAAACA